rnacentral:misc_RNA from 1 species
UCAAACUUGGUCAUUUAGAGGAAGUAAAAGUCGUAACAAGGUUUCCGUAGGUGAACCUGCGGAAGGAUCAUUGCUGAGCGUGGUGUCCUGUCUCGUCGUGCUUACCCACGGCGAGAGAGGCACCUUUCUCACCAACACCCAUGUGAACUCGUGAUAAUGUGACUGGAGCCACUUGCGCGCACACUUGUGUGUGUGCUCGUGGUACUCCUUUUUAACAAUCACCCCAACAACUGUCUUCUCUGACUGAGAUAAACGUUGUCGUCGGCGUGUGGUGUGUGUCUUCGGACGCGCUCUCUCUCGCUUGGUGACACGAAAACAAGACAAACUAUCACAACUUUUAACAACGGAUAUCUUGGCUCGCGCAUCGAUGAAGAACGCAGC